UCCAGUAGAAGGCAGGACUCACCCAAAGACCGGAGCCUUACAAAUGACACAGUGGGAAGAAGAAUAAUCGUGAAUGACAGGAAAAUGGCAGCUGCCGGGAGGUUGGCUGUGAAGGCUGUGCGCCCUCACGCCCCGAUGAUAAAGUUCCCUAACCGCCAGAGUUCCCCUCGACCGAAUGUGGCAGAUAUGUUGAAAACCAUGGCAAGCAUGAAUUUGGCCCCAAACUCUCCUAUGACUUCAACAAGUAGGCCUACGCCAACUCCAAGUCAGAUCCGUCCACUUCAUCCCUUGCCUGGUACACCUGACAGUCUCGCCAGCGUCCAAGGCCUCCCAGCAAAGUACCGCAGACGAUUGCUGGUCGUGGAAGAGAUGGAGUACAUA